rnacentral:rRNA from 1 species
AGCAGCCGCGGUAAUUCCAGCUCCAAUAGCGUAUAUUAAAGUUGCUGCAGUUAAAAAGCUCGUAGUUGAAUUUCGGGACCAUCAUGUCGGUCGUGCCUCGGUACGUACUGGCAUCGUUGGUUUCUCCCUUCUGACGAACCACGAUGUCAUUUAUUUGGUGUUGUGGGGAAUCAGGACUGUUACUUUGAAAAAAUUAGAGUGUUUAAAGCAGGCUCACGCUUGAAUACAUUAGCAUGGAAUAAUGAAAUAGGACGUUUGAUUCUAUUUUGUUGGUUUCUAGGAUCGACGUAAUGAUUAAUAGGGAUAGUUGGGGGCAUUAGUAUUCAAUUGUCAGAGGUGAAAUUCUUGGAUUUAUUGAAGACUAACUACCGCGAAGGCAUUUGCCAAGGAUGUUUUCAUUAAUCAAGAACGAAAGUUAGGGGAUCGAAGACGAUCAGAUACCGUCGUAGUCUUAACCAUAAACUAUGCCGACUAGGGAUCGGAUGAUGUUAAUUUUUUAAUGACUCA